CCUACGGGAGGCAGCAGUGGGGAAUAUUGCGCAAUGGGCGAAAGCCUGACGCAGCGACGCAGCGUGAGGGACGAAGGCCUUCGGGUUGUAAACCUCUUUCAGCGGGGACGAAGCGAAAGUGACGGUACCCGCAGAAGAAGCACCGGCUAACUACGUGCCAGCAGCCGCGGUAAUACGUAGGGUGCAAGCAUUGUCCGGAUUUAUUGGGCGUAAAGAGCUCGUAGGCGGCUUGUCACGUCGGAUGUGAAAACUCGGGGCUCAACCCCGAGCCUGCAUUCGAUACGGGCUAGCUAGAGUGUUGCAGGGGAGACUGGAAUUCCUGGUGUAGCGGUGAAAUGCGCAGAUAUCAGGAGGAACACCGGUGGCGAAGGCGGGUCUCUGGGCAACUACUGACGCUGAGGAGCGAAGGCGUGGGGAGCGAACAGGAUUAGAUACCCUGGUAGUCCACGCCGUAAACGGUGGGCGCUAGGUGUGGGGAACCUUCCGACGUUCUCUGUGCCGUAGCUAACGCAUUAAGCGCCCGCCUGGGGAGUACGGCGCGAGACGAACUACAAGAAGUAGACGCGNGAGACGNGCGACGACGACGACGAGGAGAGG
rnacentral:rRNA from 1 species